rnacentral:ribozyme from 1 species
CGGUGCUUGCAAGUGGAAUAGAAGCUUCGCAACAAACAGUCAUGACCAUUUCAACAUCCACCGCGACUCUCCAGAGAACAACGACAGCA